rnacentral:tRNA from 1 species
GGGCGAUUAGCUCAGUUGGUUAGAGCGUCUGGUUUACACCCAGAAGGUUUCGGGGGUUCGAGCCCCUCAUCGCCCA